CCCUGGAGCUGCAGAACCUGAUGCUAUGUGCGCUGCAGACCGUCAAUGGAGCAGAGGCGGGGAAGGAGUCACGGGGCGCGCACGCCGGGGAAGACUACAAGGUGCAGAUUGAUGAGUAUGAUCACUCCAAGCCCAUCCAGGGGCAACAGAAGAAGCCCUUUGAGGUGCACUGGAGGAAGCACACCCUGUCCUAUGUGGACGUCGGCACUGGGAAGGUCACUGUGGAAUAUAGACCCAUAAUUGACAAAACUUUGAACGAGGCUGACUGUGCCACUGUCCCCCCAGCCAUUCACUCCUACUGAUGAGACAAGAUGUGGUGAUGACAGAAUCAGCUUUUGUAAUUAUGUAUAAUAGCUCAUGCAUGUGUCAAUGUCAUAACUGUCUUUAUACGCUUCUGCACUCUGGGGAAGAAGGAGUACAUUGAAGGGGGAUUGGCACCCAGUGGCCGGGGAGCGUGGCACUUACCUUUGUCCCUUGCUUCAUUCUUGUGACAAGAUAAAACUGGGCACAGCUGUUAAAUAAAAUAUAAAUGAACAAACUUUCUUUUAUUUCCAAAUCCAUUUAAAAUAUUUUCCUGUUAUGACUUGUCAUAUUUGUUGACCUAAAAAUCAAAUGUAAUUAUCUUUGUAUUCUGUUACAUCAAAAUCCAGAUAUUUUGUUGCAGUUUCUUUUUUUUUUUUUUUUUUUUGAGACAGGGUUGGUGCAGUCUCAGCUCACUGCAGCCUCAAACUCCUGGGCAGCUCAG
ensembl:lncRNA MUC20-OT1 MUC20 overlapping transcript